CGGCGCCUUCGCCGGCGCGCCCACCGCCGGAGCGCUCCUCCUCUCCCUCGUCGCCUACUACCUGCACUGAGACGGGCCGGAGCGCGCACGUUCCCGCGCGGCGCCACACACACGCGUCGCUUAAUUUAUUAAUCAAUUCACUGAUCAAUUGAUGACUACCUCAUGAUUUAUUACCGUGUAUUAUCGGUACCGUGUAACUGCGCUUGUAAUUCUUCUUUUCGACUCGUUUGGUAAAUUCAACCCAAUUCACAUCUGUAACCCGUCGCAGUGGCGAUGUAUUAUCAUUUCAUUUGAACCAACCGAUUGUUUCUUGUUGUGGGCUUGUGGCCCUGGGGGUUCUUUACUGCCUUCAUAUAUUCUUUUACAAUAUGUUAUUGAACGAACGUCAGAUUUCUAGCAAGUUUCAGUGAACAUCAUGCCUAUCGUCGAGUCACAUGCACGGAUCUUGACCCAAAAGGCCAUGCCACGUCAGCUUUGAAACUUUUCGUUAGAAACAAAAGCGUCCCCAGCGCCAUCUUAUCCAAAUCGCGAACGCCGUCUUAUCUAUCUACUACCACUAAAAAAGCAAGAGAAGGUAGAUCCAACUCUGAAUCUUGACCCUCUAAACGUUCAAUCAAAGGCAUGGAUACUUCGUUAACGAAACUAAUCAGUUUUCGUUAGCGUUGAUCCCCCGCUUCUUCACGUCCCAUGCGUCCUCGGUCAACUGGUCCCGCUCCAAACACAACCAACCCCUCCUCGAUCCAAUUGAUCAUCUUCACCGACCUGAUCCCAUCGACGGCUACCUCCGCCCCACAUGCCACGCCGGCGACCUCCGCCCCCAUGCCACGUCGGUGCCACACCGGUGCCACCCCAGCGACCUCCGCCCCCAUGCCACGUCGCUGCCUUUCUAAUUCCUCUUCUUAUUUCCUUUUAUUUACUAUACUAGGUGGCAACAAUAUUCCUUUUCUUGUUUUAGGUACAUAGCAAACUUUUAAAAUAAUUGUACCUGGCAGAUUUGUAGAUUUGUAUUUUUUUUUUACUUGUCACAUGGCAAAGUUAAACAUAUAUUUGUGAUGUUUCACAUGCCAAGUUUGUUUUGUACACACAGCAAAAUUUAGAUAUUUUUUCUCAUGAUCCCAUGACAAGUUCAUAAAAAAAAACUUUCGAACAUGGUAAUUUUAGGUCUUUAUUUUUGUAAUGCUAGCAUGUCAAGUUUUGGGGAUUUUUAUCAACUAUUGAUGUCAAUUUUGGAAAUACUUAUUUUUCUACUUUCUCACAUUGGCAAUUUUAUUAUUAAGAGCAUGACAAUUUUACCUUAAUACCAUGAGGAUUUUAUUUUUAAGGGCAUGUCAUUUUUAUUCAUUUAUUCAACCUGGCAAUUUCUUGUGUAUGAUUUCUAUGUUUUGAUAAUGAAAAUUAAGGCACGGAAAAUUCCUUGUAAAUUUUUUAAUUAAUACACAAGCUCGUCAUAUAUGAUUUCCCUUUGUCUGCAUUUUGGACCAUGUUUUUAUUUUUGGAAUUAAUGUGGCCUUUUUGGCAUGUUUUUUAGGGCUUUUGCCAUGUAUAAGUUUUGUCAAUCCUCGAAGAGGGAAGCUAAAUGGGCCUGGUUGGGUUGGUUCGCCCUUUUGAGUGAUUCUUCUAGCCACUUUUUCGUUCGCUCGAUGGAACCAUUCUCGAAAACGAAUUGUUCAUGCAUUAUUCCUUUCCUUAAUGUACGUCAUCUAACGGGAUCCUUCUUUUAACAUUGGCUUGCGGCAAUCGUGUGUCGUGACGGUUGUCAACGGCUUGUUUGAAUCAACAAAGAAUCUUUCAUAAGUUGUUUUGAAUUAUAUAUUUGGUUAGAUAAAAAAAAUGAGUUGGUACUUAGUGAGAUACUUGAGUAGUGUACAAUGCAUACCACCGAGAGAAAUUAUGAGGAAAAUAAUUAGAUAAAAAUGAUCGUGGGAGAAGGUGCAUUGAGCAUCAUGAUUCAUGCCCACACAGACCAGUCGCAUUCACGACCGGUCAAAAGCUUUCUGCUGCGAUUAGUUAGCUAUAGAUAGAUAGAGACAGAGACAGAAAUCCAAGGACCUAAUCUUAGCUAGUGUACUAUGCUGCAAUGCGAUGGAUGUUUUUUUUUUUUCAAUGUAAUCGCAAAGGAAGUUUCCAUAGAAAAAAAAAA
rnacentral:lncRNA from 1 species